UCUGUGGGGAACUUUUUUUAUCUACCAUAGGUCGUAUAGCUAGUGUUACCACCAUGACCGGCCACGCCUUAAGCUGGACGAUGUAACACUGCUAGUAGGAGAUGUAGAAGUUCCAGAAGCUGUACAGGAGGUCAUCCUUAAUGGCCCCAUGGCAGUCUUAGAACAGAACCCGAGUAUGAUGGACUUAGCGCCGCAGAUUGACCAUCUGUUAGAAGGAAUAGAAGAGUUAGACAAAGAGAAGAUAAGGUGGGAAGUUAUAUCUAAUGCCGUUACGAAUAAUAAGGCAAAACGUAGUAGGAAGACCAAGGCUGAGAUAAAAUUAGUACAUGAGUGGAUAGAGCACGAAGGUUUCAUAUGCACAAGAGAUGAUAAAUCUAAAAAGAUUGCCUUUAUCUAUAAAGAUCACUAUGUUAGACUCUUGAAGGAAUUUAUUAUGGA
rnacentral:lncRNA from 1 species